rnacentral:rRNA from 1 species
AUUGAACGCUGGCGGCAGGCCUAACACAUGCAAGUCGAACGAGUGGCGGACGGGUGAGUAAUGUCUGGGAAACUGCCUGAUGGAGGGGGAUAACUACUGGAAACGGUAGCUCAUACCGCAUACCAUCAGAUGUGCCCAGAUGGGAUUAGCUGGUUGGGGGGGUAAAGGCUCACCUAGGCGACGAUCCCUAGCUGGUCUGAGAGGAUGACCAGCCACACUGGAACUGAGACACGGUCCAGACUCCUACGGGAGGCAGCAGUGGGGAAUAUUGCACAAUGGGCGCAAGCCUGAUGCAGCCAUGCCGCGUGUAUGAAGAAGGCCUUCGGGUUGUAAAGUACUUUCAGCGGGGAGGCGUUACCCGCAGAAGAAGCACCGGCUAACUCCGUGCCAGCAGCCGCGGUAAUUC